GAUUUUUUUUUUCCUUCUUCUAUUAUUGCUGUGGUUGAGUGCAUCUGGUCCUUUAGCCUGCUUGUGCGUUUUUUAAAAGAGAAAGAGGAGUGGUCUGCCAUUGGUUGAAGCUGGAAAUAGGAGAACUCCUCUCCCUGUUCUGUCGGCUUCUUCUCGUUCUCUCCCUCCUCUGUUACUGUUGGUACUUAAGGGUGUCUAGAGGAAGAGGAACUUGAUAAAAGUGAUAAGGAGUAAGCUAUAGAGGUUGGAAAGGCUUAUCAGAUGGUAUAGUUGAACUCGUGACUCGAGAUAUCCACUGAGGAGUUUUAUUGCUGAAUUGAAGUAGAAGAAUUAUUUUAGUCAAAUCCUAAUUUGAUGAAAAAUUUAAACUUUAUACCUACGUUGGCGUCUGGCCUUAGGUGCUCCACAUAGACUACAGGUAGGAUCCUUAUAUUUCUUUUAAAGUUGAAUAUUUGAAUUAAUAUUGUAACAAUUUCUAAUUACUCUAUUAGUGUGUUUAACGUAUUAAUUUCAGAGUUUCUUCGAUCAAGG